rnacentral:rRNA from 1 species
GAUGAACGCUGGCGGCGUGCUUAACACAUGCAAGUCGAACGGAGAUGCUAUGUGAGCGGAAGAUGCUUGCAUCCAACAAUCUUAUAGCAUCUUAGUGGCGGACGGGUGAGUAACGCGUGGGUAACCUGCCUUAUACCGGGGGAUAACACUUAGAAAUAGGUGCUAAUACCGCAUAAGCGCACGAUGCCGCAUGGCAAAGUGUGAAAAACUCCGGUGGUAUAAGAUGGACCCGCGUCUGAUUAGCUUGUUGGCGGGUAACGGCCCACCAAGGCGACGAUCAGUAGCCGGCCUGAGAGGGUGAACGGCCACAUUGGGACUGAGACACGGCCCAAAACUCCUACGGGAGGCAGCAGUGGGAAUAUUGCACAAUGGGGGAAACCCGUGAUGCAGCGACGCCGCGUGAGUGAAGAAGUAUUUCGGUAUGUAAAGCUCUAUCAGCAGGGAAGAUAAUGACAGUACCUGACUAAGAAGACCCCGGCUAACU